UUGUAAUCUCAAAAAUGCAUUGCUAACAAAACUGCACAUGGUGGUUUUUUGGAAAGAACAUUACAAAGGGUGAAAAUCCCAUGUGUCAUUUGUAUGUUUUGUAUACAGUGUGCAUUUCAUGAAUCACAUUCAUUGACAAUUGAAUGUAAAUUGAAUGGUAAAUUUCAUUUAAACAUGAAUAUGUUGUUGACAACUUAUAGCAAACAAAUACCAUGAGGGAAAUAUGAAAAGGAUUUUGAAAAGAAAAUUAAAAGAGCUUGCAAUUGCUGAAUUGAUAAGCAAACAAAACACAUGUGUGUGCAAGAUUGUUGUAAUGUUUUGCAUUUUAUGCAAUCACAUUACCAUGGUUUUUGUGUGUUUUGUCAUCUCUCAAAUCUGAAAUGAUUUUUUUGAAAUGUGAUUGGAAUUUUGUUUGUUAACAAAGGAAUGCAUUUUCAAAGCUUAUUGUUUGAUUUGACAAACAUGUUUGUAACAUGUCAUGUGUGUCUGUGUGUGCUUCAUUGUUGAUUCAACUAAAUGAUGAUGUGUUUGAUACAUCAAAGACAAUACAUGUUUUGUUUGACCCGUCUUGAAACACGGACCAAGGAGUUUAAUUUAUGUGCAAGUUCAUGAAAGUGACAUUUUGUACAACAAUUGAAAGUAUUUGGUUGGGAUUUCUGCACCAACAACUUGACUAGUUGGUGUGACACGACAUUUGAAUUUGAGCAUAUUCGAUUAAAACCCCGAAAAGAUGGUGAACUAUGCCUGAACAGAAUGAAGUCAGGAGGAACUC
rnacentral:rRNA from 1 species